AUUAACACGUGAUGUAGCCUUUUGCAUCAAAAUAAGGAAAUGCGACACUUUUUAUCGUUUAUAUAAAAUUGAUUCAUAUACAGUAAGGCCAUCAAGAGUAGAAAUACUUCCAAAUAUGAAUCAUGUUAUGUUGUCAGUCUUAGGAUUAUUAUUGUACUCAUCAAAAGUCUUGUCCAUCUUGCCUGGAACGCCUAAUGGAUGCAGAUAUGCAAAUGGGACAAGAAUGUGCUGUUCCGGUUUUUACGAAUGGGAAGGUACAUGUAAGGAAUGUCAUGGGUCAUAUGGAUAUAAUUGUACCAGACCUUGUCCAUCUGGAUCUUUUGGACGUAGAUGUAGAGAGUCUUGCACGUGCCCAGAAGAAGAGUGUGAUGAAGUUUUGGGGUGUAUUGUAGAAAACAUUACAUCUCAAGGAUUAAGACUACUUAACUUACACGUAAAAGCAAUUGAAA